rnacentral:lncRNA from 1 species
GGGUAGGUCACCAGGCGGUAAUAGUUAGGUCAGUAGUGGGUAGGUCACCAGGCGGUGCUAGUUAGGUCAGUAGUGGGAAGGUCACUAGGCGGUGCUAGUUAGGUCAGUAGUGGGUAGGUCACCAGGCAGUGCUAGUUAGGUCAGUAGUGGUUAGUGCACCAGGCGGUGCUAGUUAGGUCAGUAGUGGGUAGGUCACCAGGUGGUGCUAGUUAGGUCAGUAGUGUGUAGGUCACCAGGCGGUGCUAGUUAGGUCAGUAGUGGGUAGGUCACCAGGCGGUGCUAGUUAGGUCAGUAGUGGGUAGGUCACCAGGUGGUGCUAGUUAGGUCAGUAGUGGGUAGGUCACCAGGCGGUGCUAGUUAGGUCAGUAGUGGGUAGGUCACCAGGCGGUGCUAGUUAGGUCAGUAGUGGGUAGGUCACCAGGUGGUGCUAGUUAGGUCAGUAGUGGGUAGGUCACCAGGCGGUGCUAGUUAGGUCAGUAGUGGGUAGGUCACCAGGUGGUGCUAGUUAGGUCAGUAGUGGGUAGGUCACCAGGCGGUGCUAGUUAGGUCAGUAGUGGGU